rnacentral:rRNA from 1 species
GCCUAUACGAAGUCGGAAUUGCUAGUAAUCGCGGAUCAGCAUGCCGCGGUGAAUACGUUCCCGGGCCUUGUACACACCGCCCGUCACACCAUGAGAGUCGAUAACACCCGAAGCCUGUAGUCUAACCAUAUGGGGGACGCAGUCGAAGGUGGGAUUGAUAAUUAGGGUGAAGUCGUAACAAGGUAAC